rnacentral:lncRNA from 1 species
GGGGCAUAACCCUAGAAUAGUAAUCAAAGUGCUUGUAAUCACUGAAUGGUUAAGAUUGCUUUAAUUUAUCAGUUGGUAGUAAAAGUGAAUAUUGCAUUGUAUAUUGUAUACAGCAUUGAUUUAAGUUGAUUCAACUAUUAUUCUGGACAAAGAAAGAUAACUCCAAUUUUCAAAGAAGAUUUCAUAAAGCAUUGGUUUUAAGUGGUUCAACAACCAUUCUGGACAAAGAAAGAUAACUCCAAUUUAUUGUCUUGAGACUACAAAAAUGCUUGUUUU